UCCCCGCCCCGGAGCAGACGGCAGCCUCGUGCGGGACGCGAACACCGCCCCUCUGGCUCUGUGCAGCGCUGCCCUGCGGGGGGUGUCCAGUACCCACAGAUUAAUGCUGAAGGCCUUGGCUGCGUUCUGUCUUCGGUAACGCUAGUAUAUGCCGGACAAAGUGGUUUGGAUAAUAAGUCCUGUCCUAAGUAUGCAGCACACCAGUGAGUUGCUGGUGUUGCCAUUUUCUCCGGGUUCCUGUGCCUGUUCCUCUCCCGCAGAGGGCAGCCUUGGAACAACGCGUUGUCAGCGAUGCUGAAAUUACGUGGACGUAGGUGGUGGUACAACGACAAAAGCGGUGGCACCAAGUCCCCCUGCUCUGCACUUGUACACCAGUCUGAAUCGCUAGAGGCAUUUUCAGUUGGAAAAGAACCUGUGUGGAUUUCCAGCCAGUCCUGUAAUUGUUACCAAUCACUUUUCACCUGG